UACGAAGGGGGCUAGCGUUGUUCGGAAUUACUGGGCGUAAAGCGCAUGUAGGCGGAUAUUUAAGUCAGGGGUGAAAUCCCACAGCUCAACUGCGGAACUGCCUUUGAUACUGGGUAUCUUGAGUAUGGAAGAGGUGAGUGGAAUUCCGAGUGUAGAGGUGAAAUUCGUAGAUAUUCGGAGGAACACCAGUGGCGAAGGCGGCUCACUGGUCCAUUACUGACGCUGAGGUGCGAAAGCGUGGGGAGCAAACAGG
rnacentral:rRNA from 1 species